GAGCGCAACCCUUGUCCUUAGUUACCAGCACGUUAUGUGGGCACUCUAAGGAGACUGCCGGUGACAAACCGGAGGAAGGUGGGAUGACGUCAAGUUAUCAUGGCCCUUACGGCCUGGGCUACACACGUGCUACAAUGGUCGGUACAAAGGGUUGCCAAGCCGCGAGGUGGAGCUAAUCCCAUAAAACCGAUCGUAGUCCGGAUCGCAGUCUGCAACUCGACUGCGUGAAGUCGGAAUCGCUAGUAAUCGUGAAUCAGAAUGUCACGGUGAAUACGUUCCCGGGCCUU
rnacentral:rRNA from 1 species